rnacentral:rRNA from 1 species
CAGCAGCCGCGGGAAUACAGAGGGUGCAAGCGUUAAUCGGAAUUACUGGGCGUAAAGCGCGCGUAGGUGGUUUGUUAAGUUGAAUGUGAAAUCCCCGGGCUCAACCUGGGAACUGCAUCCAAAACUGGCAAGCUAGAGUAGGGUAGAGGGUGGUGGAAUUUCCUGUGUAGCGGUGAAAUGCGUAGAUAUAGGAAGGAACACCAGUGGCGAAGGCGACCACCUGGACUCAUACUGACACUGAGGUGCGAAAGCGUGGGGAGCAAACAGGAUUAGAUACCCGUGUAGUCCCUGUCUCUUAUAC